AAACAGUCAGUCCAGACAGCAGCAGCACAGACACACCUGCAACAGGAGGACAGAGGACACUGAGGGUCAGAGGACACUGAGGGACAGAGGACACUGAGGGACAGAGGACACUGAGGGUCAGAGGACACUGAGGGUCAGAGGACACUGAGGGUCAGAGGAGGGACAGAGGACACUGAGGGACAGAGGUCAGUGAGGGUCAGAGGACACUGAGGGUCAGAGGACACUGAGGGACAGAGGACACUGAGGGACCAGAGACCAGGAUUCUGUCAAAUAAAGCUUCAUCAGUGAGACGUCCUCGUAGGUUCACGUUGGAGCACAGGAACCAUGUGACUGCAACGUUCAGCA